GGGGAGAGAGAGAGAUAGGUGUAGGACACAGCGGUGUGGGGCAGAAGAAAGAGUUGGAGGGAUGAGGAAGACUGACAGAAGGAAUCUAUAUGUGUGUGUAUAAGAAAUACUGUAUCACAGAGGUUGUAGCAAAGCUGUGGCUCUGUGGACUGCCAGACCAGUUCUACAGGGUUUUGGAUCUGGGCCAGAAAUCUACAUAGAACCUGCCCGAAACACACACACCACACACAUACACAAACCCACACCACGCACAUGCAUAUACACCUACACACCUUUCACACACAGGUCGAAAGGUGAUGAAGCUGUGGUUCUGUGAACUGAACUCCUUUAGGUCCUCUACUCCUAGGAACUUGGCCCGAACCCAAUAUAGAACCACCCCAUGAUGCAACAGUCCACUUAAACAUGCUGGUGACUGACAGUGCCUCCAACCAAUGGAACCAUUGGAACGACGGCACAGCCAGACUCACCUCUGAUCUCAUGGGGCUGAAUGUGACGCCUUGACUGUGAUUGAAGGAAACAUAAUAUUGGAGCUGUACAGUUUCCAAGGGGGGGGAGAGGAGGGGGAGGAGGUGUUUUCUGUAGGACGAGUGAUUGAAUCCAUACUUGCUCUGUCUUCUGGACUAAACCCCUGCCUGGCUCUUCGGACAAGCAGUGGAACAUUGCCACCCGGUGGAGUGGAGAUGUAACUGCGGUAUAGAGCCACAUGGACAUCUUGGUUCGAGAGACUUGGUAGCCCUCACAGACAGACAGAAAUUGAUAUUAAUGAUGUGUUAAUUUACCAUACCUUUUAAUCCAAAGCAACGUACAGGGGGGAUUUGAACAUGCCACCUCCUAAUUGCAUUCAGAUGCUCCACCACGGAGCUCUACCUGGAGAGAACAGCUGAUUCCAGUGUAUCUGGAUGAAGGUCUAGGUUGGAUUCUUAGGAGGGACCGUUUCCUGUCCUGUAUUAAACUAGUUAAGGCUGUUCCCCGCAAGGAUUCCUUUUAGUGUCGACACGUUCAUAGACCCUGUCCUCCUUGGUGCCCCAAGCCUUCUGACAUCCCACCAUGUGUGUGUGCGUCAGUGUGCAUGUGUGUGUGGUGUGUGUGUUUGUGGUUUGUGUAUGUUUGCGUGCGUGUUUGUGGUGUGUGUGCAUGCGCGGGUGUGUCUAUUUGCAGUGUGUGUGGCCGUGGUGUGUGUGUUUAUGUUUGCGUGUGUGUGCGCAUGUGUUUGUGGUGUGUGCGCGUGUUUGUGGUGUGAACACGUCAAAGUAUGAAGAUUUUCUCGUCGCCUCUUAUGAACUCCUCUUUCUGUGACUCUGGUGCCCAGCAUGGUCUGAUAUGUGGCUCAGUAGCGCCACCUAGCUCCUCGGUGGUGCGACGACACCACGGACACUGUCACUAUAAUCAAGCUCCUCUCUUCUGGCUAGAUCCCAGCUCCCUGCUCACCCAAUCAGCAAUAGCCUAGUGUUCUGGGUCAAGUGAAUGUGUUUCUGUACAGUAUUGAACAGGUUGGUUCUAUUCUGAAAUGCCUCUCAACUGCAAAUGUAUUCGACUCUGCAAACAUAGUUUUAUCCUCAUGUCUGGUCUGGAGUCACAUACAUUUCAGCUCCCAACAUCUAUUCAUAUGUUUGAAUCCUAAUGACUGCAGUGAACAGACUCAGGGGUUCUGAACCCAGGUCAGGACUCUGGGCGGAUGUGGGCCGUGAUCUCAACUUUCUUGUUUCUCACCAGUGAAUGUAGCACCACAAGCCCAGAGAUAGAAAAACAUCUGUUGUUUUUAUCAAGCUGUUGAAUGAUUCCUUUAGUCGUGGGUUCUUUUUGUCGUUAUUGUUUUCACAUGAUGAUCUGAUAGAUGGUGUUCAGUCUGCUUUCAUCUGGUGAAGUUCUGAACGUGUUUUCUUGAGUGUCAGACUGGUGUGUACUGUUGUCUGGUCUGCAGUGUAGAAUAGAUACCAUGGCCAAUGACACACACACACACAUAUAUAGUCACACACACAGAUACAGUCACACACAGAUACAGUCACACACAUAGAUACAGUCACACACCGAUACAGUAACACACACAGAUACAGUCACACACAUAGAUACAUCAUUUUAUAGAUACAGUCACACACAUAGAUGCAGUCACAGACAGAAACAGUCACACAUAUCAACAUACACAAAUAAAGAUACAGUCACACAAACAGUCAGGUUGCAUUGUAUGCUGUUCUGACUGCUCACAGAUCUACUUCUAACACUCCUUUCAUGUAAAAGAAGAAAACAUAUAAACUGUACUGUGCUCUUUUUGUUGCUUCUCCUGUAUUUUAAAGAUAAUGAUUUAUUUUAGAGAAUAUGUUUACUACUAUAUGUUACUUAUUAAUAUGUGUGGUUGUGUUAUAAAUGUUGAUUCACACUUGGUUGAAUGUCUUAAUGGAGCCAGUGGAGAAUGUAUGGCAGCUGUAUGACGGGUUUGGAAUCUAUAAACGCCUGGACUCUGCA